AGACAUGUGCUCCGGCAGCACAUAGGAGAUAUCAUCCCAGGGGUGGCGAUACAGACCCUGCUUCAGCCUCUUCUGGUCCAGGUUCUGAGCAAGUCCACAAAGGCCACACCAAUGAAGCCAUCCACAUUCAAGAUCAGGUUGGGCUUCUAGGUACCUGUACACGACUGAGGCACCUCCUCCAGCCACCAUGGUCCAGAUUCUGCCUCGAGGAUUCAACAGAGUCAGUUUGAGACUGGCACCACUCUUUGCAUCAAGAUCAGCGAUCUGUGGAGACCGUCUGAGUCAACAGAAGGAACCUUCCUGUUGCCCCAGCAGGAGGCAUGGAAGGAGUGAAGAAGAGGUGGAAGUGGCUGGUUAUCAAAGCAGCAGCGCAGCCACAUCAACAUGAACAGCUGCCACAGGGCAUGUACUGUUGCCCAAUUACUUCAUUAGAAACACAAGCUGCCUUCAUCAAGCAGGACGGGUCUGAAUUAUUUAAUGUUUUCUUUCCUGGAUGUUAAGAAUUGGCAGAAUCUUCUGUUUUAAUAAGAAAUACUGUUUUCAUCUGCAGUUCCACUUUGAUGUCCUCUUUCUAAUUAUAAAAUGCAAUAGCAUAUUGAUGAACCGGCAUGGGAAUAAAGGAAAGGAAACAUUUAUGAUAGCUUUUACAGAUAAGCCAUGCAGACAUAGACAUAUUUUUUGCACCCUUGGUAAGAAUCAGUGAAAGCCUUUAAAUUAGUUAAACUUUUACUGAAGCAAGAUGUUCUCAAACUGAAAAAAAACAUUUUAUUCUAUUUUUAGUUUGAGUACAUCAUUUCCAUGAAAAAAAACACAUCUCUACAAAAGCGGCCAACAGAGUUAACCAGAUCUAC